AGUGUCACGGAUUCUCGAUGG
rnacentral:siRNA from 1 species